ensembl:lncRNA
GAUCUGAGCAGUUUUGGUCGGAUCCAGGGUUGAGCAUAGUUCAGGGUGUUUCUCCGUCAGAUAAUCAACCAUCAGGCUACUUGCUUUCCCCCCUUUCUCUUUUACCGUAUCAAUUAGACAAUGUGCUUUGUCUUCUCUGGUCGUCUUCCCCUCUACAGUCUUCUUCUCCUCGUCAUUCAACACAUUUAUCUUCCUAAGGUAACGCAGGAGAUUGAUGACAUCUUGGUCCAAUAACAGUACGACUAAUUUAGAGCGAAUCCUUCCAAGUUCUGAAAGACAAAUCAAGAGAAAAACAAAACGUUACAACUUUUCUUAGAUUACCAUUUGUGGUGG